ACGAAUCCGAUCCGGCGAUCUUCGCCUGCAAGCGUGACAAGGACAAACUUCCCUUCCUUCGUCAGUGUGUCUACCUGUUGGCGGCCACCCGAAAAGGAAAAACCACGACUACCACUACAACACUGUGCUUUUGAUCUAAACGCAGAUUUUCCACCGUACGCGCGUCGCGAUUCGCGACCGACGGACGAGACGAUCUGUCAGUUCGCAGUCAGUAGUUCAUUCCGUCAGUCAGCUCCGUCGGCUGCUCGCGGAAUUCGCGAAAAAGUGCAGUGUUCUCUCACUUUGGAUCAGUUUCUUUUGUUUGUGGGCUGAUCGUGGUGCUGCGGUCUCUUUAGUGGAAAAUCCAAAGGCUUCUUCCGGUGGCGAUCGCCCGCAAGGUUACGGAAUAAUCGACCUUCGCUGCGUUGAGUGCUCCUCUUUUUUUGCUUUAUUCUCCGUGCGAGUGCGUUUUCGCAAAAUCCGAGACGUCCUUCACGCGCGCGCGAGUGUGUGGGGGUUUCUCUGCGCCCCAGCAUUGUCGGAAGAUCGCGCGGCGGAUUCCGAUAGGUGCGGUGUUGCGCGGCGGUGGAGUUUUUUCCUCCUAUCUCGGUUUGAUUCUGUGACGCAGGAAAUCGGGGAUUGGUGCGAGCCAGUGAUUGAUAAUAUCGUUCAAGAAGAUUAGUGUUGGUCUGCCGCGGCUGUUGCUCGUAUCGUACGGUAGGUACGGUACAACACCAUCGGAGAAUUUACCAUUGUUGUUGCAUUUGGUGCUGUGCGGAUUUGGGAAUCAAGCAAGAAAAAAAAAUAAGCCAUCAUUAUCUCUCUUGAAGGAGGAGAAACAGAAAAAAAAGUGCGAUUGUGUGUGCGACGGCGCUGGCUGCUGAAGUUUUUGGGUGGCUGUGCGCGAGAGCUGUGCCGUUCAACACACACGCAAGCAGGUGAAAAACAACAUCCAGUGCUGGCAGUUUCUACGGAAGUUCCGGUGCGUUUCGAUUGAAGGGAGAUUUAAUAAACAAAAUUAAACGCAUUCGUUAGCUAAGGAAUAAAAAAUCAUUACUGUGCUGAAUAUUGAACAUUAAAUCUCCAAACCGAGCCCUGCCCAACACGGGCAUCAAACCCCACACCCGGUGCUGAGCCAUCCGAGGAUGGCCGAUUAUGGCGACUAAUCCUCCCAAGAAGCCGCCAGAAAAUGACACCUACUAUACCACCGGGUUUCCGGAUUCCAACUUUUCCGGUCCGACGACGCCGUCGACGACGACCAGCCUGCUGAAGAAACGGCGGUCGACCUGUUCCUGCUCGAACAUAUCCAUUAUGCAACUGUUUCACGAGAUGAAGCAAAAGUUUCCUACGGUGCCGGACCAUGUCGUGUCGGACCUGGUGACGGCCAACUGCCACAACCGACCGGGGUGCAUCGAGAGCUUGGAGAAGGCGGUGUUGGGGAGUCCGGUAACGGGGCAGGCCUAUCCGUCGCAAUCGAUACACAGUACCAGUUUGAAGCGGCGCAUCAACGAGCGGAAGAUGAGCAAGCUGGAGAGCAGUCUGAGCGGCGGCAGCAGUGGGAGCAGCAGCCGCGAGAGCAGCGUUGAUAAGUCGCCCAAGUGUGCGGGGGAUGCCGGUACCGGGAACUUCAACAACAACAACAACCGAAUACCGAAUAAUACAACGACGAGUAGUACUGGUGAUCAUCUAUCACGUGACAGUGGUAGUGUAAAUAAUUCUGCUGAUAACCACCCGACGACGAUGAUGACGCCGGCGUUUGAUAGCAACAACAAUCGUGUUGCGCCGAGUCGACCCACUACAUUGCCAUUCAGUGGGCCUCGGCCAACGCGAGUGGCACCAUUACCUCCCAUCAGUAGUGCUUCCCAGCAGUCGGCAAAUUCGGCGGAGAUUGGCGAAACUAUCAACGUGCAGCUGAACGUGACCGUUUCGCCGGUGGCCAGCAGAAGUCCCCUAGGGCAAAGGCAUACAUCCACCCUGCAGCUGCAACCGGAAGCACCCUACUCCCGAGAGUUGGCUCAGGCUUCCAGUAGAUUUAAUACCCCCGGACCGCUGCCUCCGGGAGCCAACAGUCGAAGUUCGACGUCGGUCAAUCUUACCCUGAGGCAACCGAGCGAAGGCCCGCAGUCACCGAUCCACAUCCACGCUAGUCCCCUCAAGUAUACGGCCAAGGGCUUCAACGCCCAGUCUGGCAUCCAGAGCAAGCUGGAAAUUACGUUUCAGGACGGUUUCGGGUCGAUCAGUGCCAUGCGAACGCACGUUCCCGGGUUCGAUCCUCCUCCCAUCGUCGGCAGCAACCAUAGUAGUAGUAGUAACAGUAGCAAUAGUACCAGUAUACCACAGCGCGGACAGUUGCAGGAGAACCCAUACCGAGAUCAUUAUCAGCACCAGCAGCAACAACAGAUGGUGGCGGGAGUGACGGUGAACGCCGGAGCCCAAAUGGCAGCGGCACAACACAACGAGAGCGAUGGACUUACCAAAGAGCAGCUUCGUCAGAACUACCUGACAGAGGUGGCCAUUACACAUCAGAUAGAUCAGAAAAACCGACUGAGUAUAGAGGUAGAACGCUAUCGACAGCAGUUGCGAUCGAUAAGACGCGAGAUCGAUGUACUGCAACGGCCACUUACGCCGCAAGCUGCCGAAGAUCUGCACCACGAGGUUCAAUUUCUACGCCAGGAAGCGGACCUAAUGCAAAAGGAGGUCGAUUCGGCUGAACUGACGACGGCGGCGGCGGCGAUGGCAACGGGGAACCCGCACCACUCAUCCAUAGCGGAUGGCCUGCAUGCGCUCAGUAUCGAAGGAUCUCCAAUCCUACCUGCCGGUUCGAUUGCAAAUCGUCCGCCACGUCCUCCGCGGCCACCUCCUCCGAGGAUGCCACCCGGUUUGCACCAGCAGCUACCUUCGACACCGGCAAACGAUGCCCCUCCGCCGUACCCGCUCGAGGGCCGAUCGCUGUCAGCUCCUGCUGGCACUGCUGUGAACCAUCCUCCUGGCGGCGGCGGUGGCGGCGGAGACCUCAGCACCGGAGAGCAAUGGACUUGCAGCCUUUGUACAUUCCAGAACCACGAACUCAUGACCACAUGCGAAGUGUGUUCGUUACCCAAAGUGUCCGGUAGACUAUCGUCCCAGAAUUCCGUGCCUGCGGCUGCUUCCUCACACCCCACACCUGCCACAGCGUCAUCGCCCGCAUCGGUGGCGGCGACGGCGACGCGCCCUUCCGCAAUAACUGCCAUGGCAUCCGCUUCGGCACCGCUGGUGGCAGCUUCGGCCCCGGUUGCGGCCACCGUUUUGCUACAGUCUCCCUCCGCUUCCUCUCCGUCCUCCUCGACUGCUCCGUCAUCGGUGGCCUCCACGCCGAUAGCUUCGCAACCGCCGAUUCAGAAUGCUUCCUAUCAAAAAUCAUCCAUCGAGUGUUGAUACCUCCUCUACUAGAUGCUUGGUCGAGUGGCCGGAAGUUGGAGGAGCGAAGCGUAGGGAAACUUACCCCUAACCCCCGUACUGACGCUGUGUUUGUUGUUGUUCUUCCGGCGCACCGUUGGAUAACCAGGCAGAAGAAAGUGUGUCGAAGUGUGAAAGAAUUAAUCGCGUUCUUCUCAGAACAAGCUUUGUUUGGUUGAAGCCGCUGAAUCUAAUAACGCUCGAUAGAAGACUCGAGGAAGCAGUGAACAGACCCCGCGCCUAGCUCCCAGUUAUGAUGGGAAGGAUGCUCAGUGUGUGCCUUGCUGGCGUUAUAGAAACUAGAUGUAGGACAGCCGUUUGUAUCGCUUUUAUAAGACUUUUAACUAACACAUCAGGCCGUACUAAGAUAUACGCAAUCAUUUUAAAACUGUGUUUGAGAGUGAUUAAGUGUGGACGAGACUAUUCCUCACAUAUUAUAGUGCAUGAAUUUUAAAUGUAACACAAAUUGUGAUAGAUUCGAGUGCUGUUGCUGUAUGUGCCUAACGAUUUGGGGAAUAUGUGUACCUUACAACGAAACUUAUGUAUUAGGAAUGAUUAGUUUUUUGCAAUAGAAACUAAGCGUAAAUUUUAAAUACAAUUGAAGACGUAGCGUCGAUAAAAGAGCAUUUGGAGAUGCUUCACUUCAGCAAUCAGGCGGGUGUUUCAAAAUGUAGUAACCUCAGGGCAGGACAUCCACAUCUACCUAUCGCCUGGCCAGAAUAAAAUUGUUCACUCUUGGAUUAUGUCCUAGUAAGCGCCCAGUAGUGUCUCUCGAAGCCAUCCCAAUCGGCGGUUAUUCAGCUAGUACCAAAGUACAUUGUAUGGAAGGAGCAGAACGAAUACUUGGACUGAAGAUUAUGCGUCGAUCGAUGCGCAAAAUGUUCCAGGAGAUCUCUAGCGUUGGAUCUAACCUUUAUAAUACAGCUUUUCUCUCGUAAAAUACUUCCUACUUGCUCUUCUUUUAUAUAUUUUGGAUGUUUUUCUUGAAAAAUUUGCAUUCAAAUAUUAUCACAGAGAAACAUACGUCACACUCCGCCCGUAUCGUUUUUAACCUUCUUAACGGUUAAUGCAAAUUUUCGGUAGUUGUUCAAUUGACCACUCGCGGCGCUGACAUCGUUUUUGCUUAUGUUUGAAGUUUGUUCACUACCGCCUCCUAGUGAUGACCCGGCCAAAUAUAGUACGUUAAGCAUUGGGCGAUUUCGUUUUCGUGACGAUGAUUUUAAUGAAAUUUGUUCCAAGUGUUACGUCUGUUUCUUUGUGGUAUUAUCGUUUCAAUCGCUUGCACGAAAAUGAUGCAUCUAUUGUAAUUUUUUUUUCUGGAUAGGAUUCAUAAGCACUAUUUAAUAUUUGCAUUAUACAUUUUUUUUAGUUCCCAAUAUCUUUCUUUGAUAGACUUUGUGAUAGUAUUCCCAAUGGUUAAAAAAUACAUCAGACAUACCUAAAUCUAUAAUCAGCGCUGCUAAAUGUCAUGAAUUUCUCGUGGUUUUGACAAUUGAAUGUUUUUAUGAGCAUCAGCAUGCUUCCACAGACAAACAGACGUAACACUCUUCAAAACGGCUUGGCACAUGCAUUUAACGAUCAAUUCAAAUUUCAUUUGAUUUGCGCGAUCGUUCCACUAGAUGCGCUAGUGUUCGAUCGCUUUGACGUUUGCCAAGUGUACACGUUGCUGAAUGAUGCAAACGAAAAUUACAAGCAUUUUGUGUAGUAGUGUGCGUGUCAGCAAAACGUCAAAUCGAAAUCCAUCAUGGCCGACAGUGUCGCGCGCGGUUCUACCAACAGGUGGCAGUGUGCUCAUGAAAAUGACACCGGGCAAAAGUUUUUGAUGAAUUUCCUCUAAGAGUUACGUCUGUUUGUCUGUGAUGCUUCUUUUUUAUAUUUGACAUUAUACAAAACAUUUCAUAAAAUGACCGUUGAAAAAAAUGAGGUUAGGAUCGAGGCAUGGCCCAUAAAGGUUAGAUUUGACGGGAGUAAAAAUCCGUUGUGACAAACAUUUAGUUACCGCAGCGCUUUUACGCUCGUAAAACAGCAGUGUUAGUUACCUACUCCGAAUGAAAGAUGAAAACGGCACGUGCGCAAGUUGAAGUGGUUAGAAAACUAAUUUAUUCUGUAUAUAGACUUGUUUAACUGCAAAUCACAACGAAAUUUAACUGAUUACAAGUUGAGUUUGAAAAUCUUUUGAUAUUCCGGAAGUUCAUUCAAAGCAACAUAUAUCAGGUUGACAAGGAAAAUUGGUCACUGUUUCCCAGGGCAAGAGAAGAUACAUAUAACUCGAAUCGACGUAGUGUGUCAACUAAAAGAAAUAGAAUAAUUCAAUUACCUAAUGUGAAAAGCCAUUUUGGUCUUCUCCUGCCCUGGUACACUGAUCAUCAUGCUACGGAACACAAGUGUAGACGAAUCUGCUUCAAAUGGAAUUUUAGUUCAUUAUGUUUUUCUUUUCUGUUGAAGAGUCUGUUAAACUUAACUAUAAACCAAAUGAAUGAAUAUAUUAUCAGAAAGCUUCCUUCAAAA